rnacentral:rRNA from 1 species
AGUGAACGCUGGCGGCAGGCCUAAUACAUGCAAGUCGAACGGCAGCACAGCAGAGCUUGCUCUGUGGGUGGCGAGUGGCGGACGGGUGAGGAAUACGUGGGAAUCUGCCCAGUCGUGGGGGAUAACGUAGGGAAACUUACGCUAAUACCGCAUGCGCCCUUCGGGGGAAAGCCGGGGACCUUCGGGACUGGCGCGAUGGGAUGAGCACACGUCGGAUUAGCUAGUUGACGGGGUAAAGGCCCACCAAGGCGACGAUCCGUAGCUGGUCUGAGAGAAUGAUCAGACACACCGGAACUGAGACACGGUCCAGACUCCUACGGGAGGCAGCAGUAGGGAAUAUUGGACAAUGGGCGCAAGCCUGAUCCAGCCAUGCCGCGUGAGUGAAGAAGGCCCUCGGGUUGUAAAGCUCUUUUGUCCGGAAAGAAAAGCGCCGGGUUAAUACCCUGGUGUCCUGACGGUACCGGAAGAAUAAGCACCGGCUAACUUCGUGCCAGCAGCCGCAGUAACAC